CUCUUUUUGAUUAUAAUUUAAAGUUGGGCCUGCCCACUGAUUUAUAGAAGGGCCGCAGUAUUUUGACUGUGCAAAGGUAGCAUAAUCAUUAGUUUUUUAAUUGAAAGCUUGUAUGAAUGGUUUGAUGAAAAAAUGACUGUUUCAAUUUAAAUAAAAAGAAUUUUAUUUUUAAGUAAAAAAGCUUAAAUUUAAUUUAAAGACGAGAAGACCCUAUAGAGUUUUACUAAAUUUAAGAUUUUUAUUUAAGGAAUUUUUUAUUAAAAAUUUUAUUUAAGUUUUGUUGGGGUGACAAAAAAAUUAAAAUAACUUUUUUUAUAUUAAUAUACUAAUUAGUAGAUGAUUGAUCUUUAAAUUAUGAUUAUAAGAUUAAAUUACCUUAGGGAUAACAGCGUAAUUUUUUUUGAGAGUUCUUAUUGAAAAAAGGGAUUGCGACCUCGAUGUUGGAUUAAAAUUAAUUUUUGGUGGAGAAGCUAGAAAAUUAGGUCUGUUCGACCUUUGAAAUUUUACAUGAUCUGAGUUUAAACCGGUGUGAGCCAGGUUGGUUUCUAUCUUAAAUUUAUAUAAUAUUUUAGUACGAAAGGAUCAAUUAUUAUAUUAAUAAUAUUUAAUUAAGAAUUUUAUUUUGGCAGAUUAGUGCGAUGGAUUUAGAAUCUUUUAAUGUGUUUUACACAAAUAAUAAUUGAUUUUAUUUUAGUAAUAUUAAAUUUUUUAAUUUUAAUUUUGGGUGUUUUGGUGGGGGUAGC
rnacentral:rRNA from 1 species